rnacentral:rRNA from 1 species
UACGUAGGGUGCGAGCGUUGUCCGGAAUUAUUGGGCGUAAAGAGCUCGUAGGCGGUGUGUCACGUCGGCCGUGAAAACCUGGGGCUUAACUCUGGGCGUGCGGUCGAUACGGGCAUCACUAGAGUUCGGCAGGGGAGACUGGAAUUCCUGGUGUAGCGGUGAAAUGCGCAGAUAUCAGGAGGAACACCGGUGGCGAAGGCGGGUCUCUGGGCCGAUACUGACGCUGAGGAGCGAAAGCGUGGGGAGCAAACAGG